CCUCCUUAUACNAUUUAAAACUUAUUUGUUCGUAGUGUCCACACNGAUGAUUGUUUAGUUAGUUUCACCUUUGGGUUUAACUGAUUAAUAUGCUCUUUAAAAAUUUGGAAAAGCUGAUAAUAAAAUUCGUAUGAAUACAGUGUAUUUGUACAGAGUUUUCACUAAGUAAAAAAGAAUGAUAGCAGUAUCAUUCAAAUGCCAUUUAAUAAACGUUUCGUUUGUUGAUUGGUAUCUACUUUAGUAUUCAAUAUUAACUUCUGGCGAAGUUAAACUGUUCACAAAUACAAAGACCCGUUUUGAGGUUUGUAAUGGU
rnacentral:misc_RNA from 1 species